rnacentral:tRNA from 1 species
UCGCCCGUAGUGUAAUUGGCAGCACCGGAGAUUUUGGUUCUCCGAGUUCAGGUUCGAACCCUGGCGGGCGAG